UACGGGGGGGGCAAGCGUUGUUCGGAAUUACUGGGCGUAAAGGGUGCGUAGGUGGUUGUUUAAGUCUGCUGUGAAAGCCCCGGGCUCAACCUGGGAAUGGCAGUGGAUACUGGACAGCUAGAGUGCGGUAGAGGGUAGUGGAAUUCCCGGUGUAGCAGUGAAAUGCGUAGAGAUCGGGAGGAACACCAGUGGCGAAGGCGGCUACCUGGACCAGCACUGACACUGAAGCACGAAAGCGUGGGGAGCAAACAGG
rnacentral:rRNA from 1 species